rnacentral:rRNA from 1 species
GAUGAACGCUGGCGGCGUGCCUAAUACAUGCAAGUCGAGCGAACAGACGAGGAGCUUGCUCCUCUGACGUUAGCGGCGGACGGGUGAGUAACACGUGGAUAACCUACCUAUAAGACUGGGAUAACUUCGGGAAACCGGAGCUAAUACCGGAUAAUAUAUUCAACCGCAUGGUUCAAUAGUGAAAGACGGUUUUGCUGUCACUUAUAGAUGGAUCCGCGCCGCAUUAGCUAGUUGGUAAGGUAACGGCCUACCAAGGCAACGAUGCGUAGCCGACCUGAGAGGGUGAUCGGCCGCACUGGAACUGAGACGCAGUCCAGACUCCUACGGGAGGCAGCAGUAGGGAAGCGUCCGCAGUGGGCGAAAGCCUGACGGAGCAACACCGCGUGAGGGAUGAAGGUCUUCGGAUCGUAAAACUCUGUUAUUAGGGAAGAACAAAUGUGUAAGUAACUAUGCACGUCUUGACGGUACCUUAUCAGAAAGCCACGGCUAACUACGUG